UACGUAGGUGGCAAGCGUUGUCCGGAAUUACUGGGUGUAAAGGGAGCGUAGGCGGGAAGGCAAGUUGAAUGUUAAAUCUACCGGCUCAACCGGUAGCCGCGUUCAAAACUGUUUUUCUUGAGUGAAGUAGAGGCAGGCGGAAUUCCUAGUGUAGCGGUGAAAUGCGUAGAUAUUAGGAGGAACACCAGUGGCGAAGGCGGCCUGCUGGGCUUUUACUGACGCUGAGGCUCGAAAGCGUGGGUAGCAAACAGG
rnacentral:rRNA from 1 species